GUCUCAUUGGUCUAGUUGGUUAUGACGUCGGUCUCAUAUUCUAUCAUAUGAUGUACUCACAGAGUGCGGUUAUCCGAAGGCCGCCAGUUCGACUCUGGCAUGGGACA